UAAGAUUUAAGGAUAAGAGAAUUCACUUCUCAUUGGAUAAUCUGAAAAUCACUAACAAUUCUGAGAAUUUUUGAAGGUGAAAAAAAAGGUAAGCAGUUUUAAGUUCUUCCGCACAGAAAGCCAAGACCUUUCCCGAUGGCAAUCGCGACUACUUAAAAAUUCUGGUUAUUGUGUACAAUUCAUUUACAGAUUCAGCAGCAUACAUGUUAGACACAUGCUCAAUAUCAACACCAAGUGUAUAUGCCCUUAGCCACAGAUCCUUCAUUUUCAGCUUCACCUCCGUUGAUAUCAUCUCAAUGAGAGCCACGUACUUGAAUCCCCUAGACAUGAAAAGUUCAAAUGUUCUCGGUUACACAUACGUUCACUGAGUCCCUAUCUGCAUCCAAACAACAAUAUAGUAUACAACGUAAGUUGCUAUGAUCGGAGAAGCCAUUUCUACAUAUUGAUCAAAGUUGUCAACAACAAAUCAGUUCUAUAUACACACACACACACAACCUUAAUACUGGUACAUAACAUCAUGUGUUGUCAAUUAGAAUAUAUAUCGCUAUUAUAGCAUUUACCAAAAUUUUUGACCUAACCAAUAUGUUAAUGUAUAUAUAAUAGUAAAAAAAGAAUUUGUUGUUUCUUUAUAGGCAUAUAUGAAUUUUUCCCUUUUUCAAAUUAGGCACAAUAUCCACUGCUGCUUUGUAUUGUAUCCAGUGUCCCAGCUCCCAUUGAUAUGACAAAUUGAACUUUGCAAAAACACACAAAGGCGCAAACUAGACCCUAUAUCUCCCACCCGGGCGGCUCUGCCACUGAAGAGUCUGUGACCUACUGCUACCGAGUGGCGAGCUUUCAUCGUCCGCCACUUCCCGCCUGCCAGUCCCGCCGCUGUGUGAGUGGGCCUCUUUUCUUCUUUCUUUCUUUCUUUCUUUCUUUUUUUUUUUUUUAAAGUUCAUUUUUGAUGCAAUUGGAGAAUGAUUUGUGACCUUCUAUAGGUUUGAUUUACUUUGGGUAUGCUUCAUUUUCUAGUCUUCUUGUUUUGGGUUUUUAUCUAAUUGACUUUUUUAAUUAUUAAUUACUUGGCUGAUCGAUAGUAUUUUUAUUAAUUUUUUACGUUACUCACCUCUUUCUGUUGACUUGUACAUUUCUUUUUUCAAGACUUAAUUUUUUAUGUUACUUAUACAGUUAGGAUUUGGCUACCGGAAAAAUCAAGAAAUUAGACAUUUUAAGAAUGUCUAUAUUUUCUUGUGUUGUCUUCUAUUAAUAUAAUAAUGUUUUAGCUUAUUUUGGGACCGCAAAAAAAAGGGAGAUGUAAAGCUAAAUUUACUACGUGUAACGAGUAGUUCACAAAUUAUUAGCCACUUUAAUCAACAAAACCAGAAUUAAUAAUGCACAAAAAUAAACUGAAAGUAAUGUAAAGAACACGAUAUUUUUCGCCCUAAGGCAAGAGGUUCAUAACCGAAGUUCCUAAUCCCCUUUUGUGCUUCCACCACCGGAAGAAUUCAAUGCAUUAACUAGAAUCGUGAACCGUCCAAUAGUUACAGAUCUGAGUCCCAAGCCAAAAAUCACUCAAGAUUACCGAUAACCCUCACAAUAUUGCCUCAACAAUUCACUCAAGAAUAGUACUGUGAAAUCGGUCCGUAUGCAAAUCACCCAAGAUAAGUAUUACACGAUUUCACAAAAUAGAAUCAACAACUAAAUGAUUUCUACACAAAUUUGUGAAGGAAAAAUAUGGUACUUAGAAAAUAUGAAGAUUAUUCUUCAGCCACUUUGAGAGAGAAAAACCAUGAGAUGAAGAGAAAAUGAAAAAUCUGCCAACCCUAGACUCAAGAGACCCGUAUUUAGGAAGUCUCUAGAAUGUCUCUAUCCAAUGGCCAUGAAGGUGACACUUGUCAUCAUCAAAUUUUUCCAGCCCAUUAGUAAAAAUGUAUUGUUGGAAAAACACGUUUUUAAUUCAAAACCAUCAGUUUUUGUUUCAGCCUGCACGAUUCACUUUCAUUUAGUAGAGAAGCCAGUCAAAGUACAUGAACAGCUGGUCCAGUCAGCAUGUCAAGAUAGCCACAUCAUUGUGCCACAUUUCCUCACAAUCUCCACCUUGGUACAAUGAUUCCUAUUUUGUGCAAUAACUUCUCCAGACAUGGUAUCAUUUGCACUUACCUAAUAUAUAAAUCAGCAAACGUUAAUAUUUAGUUGUUUUAAACAUUCCAGAAAUUUGUUUAAAGGCAACACUUUAGUUCCAACAUCAGCAGAAUUAAAUUGUAUAGAAAAUUUUUCCAAGUUUAACAACACCUUGAGAAAUUACAUCUCUAAUGAAAUAAAAUUUCACAUCAACAUGUUUUGAUCGAUUAUGUAGCACAUGAUUUCUACUCAAAUAUAUAGUAGACUGACUAUCGGAAUGCAAAACAACAUCAUUUAUGAAACCAAAUUCAUUUAAAAGUCCUUUUAACCAAAUUCUUUCUUUAAUAGCAUCAGUUACAGCUGUAUAUUCAGCUUCAGUUGAAGAUAAAGCAACAAUCUUUUGCAAUUGUGAUUUUCAGCUUAUACAGGAAUUACAUAAAGUGUACACAUGGGCAGAAGUUGAUUUUCUAUUGUCCCUAUCGCCUGCCUAAUCAGAAUCUGUGUAACACCUUAAGAUUGUUUUUUAUACUCAAUUCCUAGGUCACAAGUUCCUUUUAUAUAUCUUAGCAGCCACUUUAUAGCUUUCCAAUGAACCUCACCAGGAUUGGACAUGUAUCUACUCAAUACACUUAUUGCAAAUGCCAAAUCAAGCUUAGAAUAGAUCAUUUGAUACAUAACUGACCCCACAGUAUUAGAAUAUGGCACUCUAGCCAUUCUUUUAAACUCUUCUUCAUUUUUGAGAGACUGGUCAUUAGAUAAUUUGAAGUGAUUUGCUAAAGGUAAACUCACACUUUUAGCAUUAGAUAUUGCAAAUCUUUCAAGUAUUUUCAAAGCAUAAGAUUUUUUAUUUAGAUUAAUAUGCCCUCUCUUCUAUUUCUUUUAAUUUCGAUACCUAAAUUUUUUCUAACAAGACCUAAGUCCUUUAUUCCAAAUUUAGAUUUUAAUUUGUCUUUAAUUAACUCUAUUUCCUUUAUCUCAUGAAUAGCCAAAAUCAUGUCAUCCACAUAAAGUAAAAGAUAGAGUGAAUUCUCACCUCCGUUUCCUUUACAAUAAAGACAAGUAUCGAAAUUACUUCUUUUAAAACCAAGUCCAAGCACAAAAGUGUCAAAUCUCUUGUACCAUUGUCUUGAAGCUUGUUUUAAACCAUAAAGUGACUUUUUAAGAAGACGUACUAAGUCAUAAUUUUUAUUCACUUCAAAACCUUUAGGUUGCUUCAUAAAAAUGGUUUCUUCAAGACUACAUUUAAAGACGCAGUUUUGCAAUCUAAUUGAUCCAAUUCCCAAUUAAAUUGAGAUCAAGGGCAAGUAUGACUCUAACAGUCGUAAAUUUUACAACGGUGGAAAAUAUUUCAUUAAACUCUAUCCCCUCCUUUUGAGCAAAAUCCUUAGACACAAGUCUUGCCUUAUAUCUAAUGUCAUUCUCUUCUUUUUCAUCUCUUUUGAUCUUAUAGAUUCACUUGCAAUCUAUAACUCCCUUUCCCUUAGGUCUCUUGUCUAAGGUCGAAAUUUUAUUCUUUCUCAAAGAUUCCAUCUCAUCAUGCAUUGCAGCAAGCCAAUGCUUAGAGUCCUUACUACUCAUAGCAUCUUUUAUAGGACUCGGGUUCAUUCGCAAUGAACCCCUGAAUAGUAAGAAGGGACAUUUCAUCAUCAAACCUAACAGGUGGUCUUAUUUGUCUCAUUUCUCUAUCUCAAGCAAAUUGAUAAUCAUUUAAAGGUUUAUUUACUUCAAAAUCAGAUUCAUUCAGAUCAGUUUCAUCAGUAUUUUGAACCACAAUUUUAGAAUUUUCAAUCUGAUCAGGUUGUAGUAAUUCAUUAUCAACUUGCUGUACCUCAAUUUCAAUUUCCCUUCCUUCAUUUUCAUUCUGACCAGAUUUAGUUAUGUUAUUUUCAGAUUUCAAACAAGGUAUAUCAGAUUCAUUAAACACCACAUUUCUACUCAAAAUGAUCUUAUAACCUUUGGUCUCUUUUACGCAAAAUCUAUACCCCUUCACUCUUUCAUCAUAGCCCAAGAAAACAUACUUUAGGGCUCUAGGUUCAAGUUUUCCUUCAGAUUGGUAUGCAAAUACUGCACAACCAAAUAUUUUUAGAUUUCUCAAAUCUAUAGGUUUCCUUGUCCAAAUUUCUUCAGGCGAUUUGAAUUGUAUAACACUAGUGGGGCUUCUAUUUAUGAGAUAACUAGCAGUUUUUGUAGCUUCUCCUCGAAUAACUUGGGAAGACCAGAACCUAGUAACAUACAUCUAACUCUUUCAACAAUAGUUUGGUUCAUUCUUUCAGCCAAGCCAUUUUGUUGUAGGUUGUGUGUCACUGUUCUGUGUCCAAGAAUACCAUGCUCUUUGCAAAAUUCAUCAAAUUCAUAAUUGCAAAAUUUCAGCCCAUUAUCAGUCCUCAACACUUUAAUCUUUUUAUUUAUUUGAAUUUCAAUCAAGAUUUUCCAUUCUUUAAAAGCAUUAUAAGUGUCAGAAUUAUGUUUAAGUAGAAAGAGCUAGUUUUUCCUAGAAAAAUCGUCUAUGAUUAAAAGGAAAAAUCUGAAACCAGUAUGUAUGGGCAUAAAAGUUGGUCCCCAAGGAUCAGCAUGCAAAUACUGUAACACCCCGACCCCUUGUGGAUCGGAACGCUACUUACUUUACUUAACUGAUCGGUGGUUUAGUCAUAGGAGAAUAUGUUUUAGUGGAAGUUUAAUUUUUACAGUGGUUUAGUCAUAGGAGAAUAUGUUUUAGUGGAAGCUUAAUUUUUACAGUGAUAAUUUCAACAAAAACCUUUCGAAUACUUUAAAUAAAACACUGAAUAAAAAAAUAACGAAACGUAAUUUAUUUGAAGAAAACACAACUUGUUCUCGCGUUCAGCGUUAUUCAAAUAUUUUAAAGAAAUAACAGUAAAAACGUUCACAAAAAUAAAUCUAAAUAACUUGUUCACCGGGUUUUCCACGGGCUUGUUGCAUCACUCUCCAUCUUUUCCAUCAUCCGGGACCAAAGUAGAAUCAUAUCAAUUUGUAGAGAAGGGGUUAAACCCGUGAGUUAAAAAAACUCUAUAGAUAUCAUUGGUGCAUUCGUGAUCAAGCUAUACAUUUCAAAGCUGUAACUUUAGAAAUAUUUUCAUAGUAGAAUUUUCGGUAGAAUCUCAAACACAUAGAGUCAUGACUUAACACGACGCCUCGACCAGAAGUACAUAUCGUACCCGGAGGUACCAUUAGGCAUGGAGGUGUAUGUCGUACCUGAGGUACCAUUAGACACACAAACAUUAACAUAAAUCUUCAUUUGCUAGAAACUUAUAACUUAACACAAAUUAACACUUUGCACCUCUACCUACCUUGAUUGAUGCUUUGAACCUUGUUGAAAAAUGCACUCCUUUGAUGUUUAAAAAAAAACACUCCGUUGAGAAUUGAUGCUUGUAAAACACUUCUUGAUAGCACCAAAACUUCUAGGAAAAACUAAUUUUCCUCCCUCUCCUUUAUCAUUUUUUAGACUUGAAAACUCUCUCUUUUAUGCUUAGAAGCUUUUGUCUUGGUGUGAAAAAUGUGUAUGCAUUGGGGCCUAUUUAUAGGUGAAAAUCUCACAACUUAAGGGCAAGUGAAGGGCCUAAUACUCAUUAAUACGGGUGCCAUUUAUGUGGGAGUUAUAGGUUUAAAAAGGUGCUAGAAAAUCGUGUAGGAAUUUGACUUUUCAUAUUUCGCAUACUUCGGUUGAUACUAUACAGCCUUUAGUAUUUCUAUCAUAACUUCUUCUCCCGCUAUGCGAUUGAGGUAAUUCAAAGUGCGUUAAAAAGAACUCAAAGAGCUACAACUUUUCUUUAGAUAUCAUUUCCCAAAUCGAAUGUUUUCUAUGUCGUAAAUGGGUCUCAAAUGAGACUAAAAAUCUGAAGUAUACUUUAGUCAUCCAAUAUUCAUGUCUUAGUGCCACUAAGGUGUUUAAAAUUAUUUGGGGUUCUAUAUCCCCUACACCUUAAUUAAAAUUUCGUCCUCGAAAUUUAGCUUCUGAUUGGGCGAAUAGUGUUGGACACUUGUUUUUGGCUUCCUCUUCCCCUUCCCAAGUGGCCUCUUCUAUUUCAUGAUUAUUCCAUUGUAUGUUGACCAAUUAAGUUUCUUUGUUCCUUAGUUUAUGCACCUUUCGAUCCAAUAUCCUAAUUGGUACCUCUUCAUAGGAUAAGUCCUUUUGUACUUCCACAAACUGAUUAGGAUCAUGCAUGUAUUUCUUGAUCAUUGAUACAUGGAACACGUUGUGCACUGUCGAUAACCCAGGUGGGAGAGCUAACCGAUAGGCUACAUUUCCGACCCUAUCAAGUAUCUUGAAUGGUCCGAUAUAGUGGGGUCGUAGCUUUCCUUUCUUGCCAAACUUAAGUACACCUUUCAUCGAUGCCACUUUCAGAAACAUUUUUUCUCCAACUUUGAAUUCUAAAUCCUUCCUCCUUGUAUUCACAUAGCUCUUCUGUCGAUCCUGUGCUGCCUUUAUCUUUGCAUGGAUCUUAUCGAUUGCCUCAACUAUCAGUCAAUUAUUUCUGGUCCCAACACUCUUUUCUCCCUAACUUCAUCCCAAUGAACAGGGGACCUACAUCUUUUACCAUAGAGAGCUUUGUACAGUGCCAUCCCGAUAGUUGCUUGGAAGCUGUUAUUAUAUGUGAAUUCUACUAGGGGUAUGUAUGACUCCUAACUACCCCCUAGAUCCAAAACACAUGCUCUCAGCAUGUCUUCCAAAGUUUGGAUGGUCCUUUCAGAUUGACCAUUGGACUGAGGGUGAUAUGUUGUACUAAAGUUCAGCUUCGUUCCCAUAGCUUCUUGUAGUCUUUUCCAAAAUUUGGACGUGAACCUUGGGUUUCUGUCAGACACAAUGGACACAAGUACGCCAUGUAAUCUCACAACCUCCUUAAUGUACAAUUGUGUCAAUUGGUCUAAACUGAAUGUCAUUUUCACUGGAAGAAAAUGAGCUGAUUUUGUUAAUCGAUCCACUAUUACCCAUACAGCGUUGUUUCCUCUUGCUGACUUCGGGAAUCCAACCACAAAGUCCAUUGUGAUAUUUUCUCAUUUCCAUUCAGGUAUGUCCAGUGGAUUUAACAAUCCAGCCGGUCUUUGGUGUUCUGCCAUAACCUGUUGACAUACCAUCCACUUUUCCACGUACAACCCUAUACUUCUUUUCAUAUUUAUCCACCAAAAUGUAUCUAGGAGGUCUCGAUACAUUUUCGUACCACCGGGAUGUGCGGUGUACGGGGUGGAAUGGGCCUCUUUCAAUAUCACAUUUCUGAAGGGUUUAUCCUUAGGCAUACAAAUUCUCCCCUUAAACAUCAGUGCCUGAUCUGAAACUAUUCCAAAAUCCUUUUUCUUAUCAGUACCAAUUUCAUCCUUGAUUUUCAACAAGAAUGGGUCAUUUUUCAACAAGAAUGGGUCAUUACCUUGUGUCUCUAUAAUUCGAUCUUUAAGAGUGGGUCGAAUUAUCAAAGCUGUUAGACGAGCAGUGACUUGUCCUGGUAUGGUAACCACUUCGAUCUGCAACUUUACCAAGUCCUUGACUAACUCCAUUUGAAAAGUGGGUAGUGACGCCAACUGUCCCAUUUAUUUUCUACUUAAGGCGUCAACCACAACAUUGGCCUUACCUAGAUGGUAAUAGAUAGUGCAAUCGUAAUCAUUCACCAAUUCCAACCAUCGUCUUUGUCGUAUAUUCAAUUUCUUCUAUGUGAAUAAAUAUUUUAGACUCUUGUGAUCUGUGUAGAUAUCGCAAUUCCCUCCAUACAAGUAGUGUCGCCACAUCUUCAAGGCGUGUACUACUGCCGUAAGUUCUAAAUCAUGCGUCGGGUGGUUCUGCUCAUGUUUCUUCAAUUGUCUUAAUGCAUAGGCUAUCACUUUUCCAUUCUACAUCAGCACACAUCCCAAUUCUUGCUUGGAUGCAUCACUGUAUAACAAACCCUUCCGUACCCUCAGGUAUUGUUAACACGGGUGCUGAUAUCAACCUCUGUUUAAGUUCUUAGAAACUUUGUUCACAUUUAUCCGUCCAUUGGAAUUUUACUCCCUUCCUUGUAAGCUACGUCAUUGGUCCAGUUAUUUUGGAGAAUCCUUCUAUGAAUCUCCGAUAAUAUCCUGCUAAUCCUAGAAAGCUCCGUACCUCACCAGCAUUAGUUGGUACUUUCCAGUUGGUUACUGCUUCCACUUUCACUUGAUCUACCUCAAUCCCUUGGGCAGUGACUAUAUGUCCAAGAAAUCCAACUUGUUCAAGCCAGAACUCACACUUGUUGAAUUUGGCAUACAGCUUUUCCUUGCGUAAUACCUCUAAUGCUAUUCUUAGGUGCUCUUCAUGCUGCUUCUUACUCUUGGAAUAUAUCAGAAUGUCAUUAAUGAAGCCUAUGACAAAUUUAUCCAAGUACUAAUGAAAUACACGAUUCAUCAAGUCCAUGAACGCUGCAGGUGCAUUGGUUAGCCCAAACGACAUCACUGUAAACUGUAGUGUCCAUAACGAGUUCUGAAAGCUGUCUUGGGUAUAUCCUUUGACUUUAUUUUCAAUUGAUGGUAUCUCGAUCGUAAGUUGAUCUUGGAAAAUACCUUAGCUCCUUUCAGUUGAUCUAACAGAUCCUCGAUUCUCGAGAGUGGGUAUUUAUUCUUGAUAGUUAAUCGAUUUAACUCCCUAUAAUCGAUGCACAUCCUUAUGCUUCCAUCCUUUUUCUUCAUGAACAACACCGUCGCACCCCAUGGAGAUACACUUGACCAUAUAAAGCCCAUAUCUAGGAGUUCUUGCAACUACUUCUUUAACUCUUGUAGUUCCUUCGGGGCCAUUUGGUAUGGGGCUUUUGACACUGGCGCCACUCCGAGAAUUAGGUCUAUGGUGAAUUCCACUUGCCUAUCUGGUAGAAUACCAGAUGGAUCUUUUGGAAACACAUUUAGGAAUUCCCGUACUAUUGGUACGUCUUCAACCUUUAUCGUCUCCUGUUUCCCUCCUGAGAUGUUUACUAAAUAUCCUUGAAAUGUUUCUUUUCUCAACAUCUUCUCAGCUUGUAAAGCCGACACUAGUCGAAUAAGGGGCUUCGUCUUCAUUCUAAGGAACGAAAAUGGUUCCUCACCUGGUUUUUGAAAUUAUAGCUCCCUUUCCUUACAUCGGAUGGUGGCGUAAUUACAACCCAACCAAUCCAUGCCUAGUAUUAUAUCAAAAUCCUUCAUUUCUAUCAUGUAUAGGUUCGCUUCCAUUGGUUUUCCCUCAACUUCAAUACGUAUUGAUUUGGCUAUUCUAUCAGUACUCAAAGGGUUGCCUGAAAGAAUGCUAACCUCUAAUGUACCUUCCGACUUAUCACAGGUAAUACUAAAUUUAGCCAUAAAAGUUGUCGAUACAAAGGAGUGUGUGGUUCCUGAAUCAAACAAUACAUAAGCAGGCAUAUGGGCUAUCAAUAAAGUACCUGCUAUGACGUUCGAGUUUUCCUUUGCAUCUUUCUGAGUCAUUGCAAAAACUUGUGCUCUCCCUUUCUGGUUCUGGUCAUUGUUAUCAUCCUUCUUAGGGGUAAAUGUGGGGCAAUCCUUAAAAAUAUGCCCUGGCUUGCCACAUCUGAAACAGACAUUCUUCCCUUGUAAACACACGCCACGAUGCAUCUUUCCACACUUAGAACAUGGCUCUAUAACUGGCACAAUGCUCUUGUUAGUAUUGGCUCCGCCAUUAGCUUUCUUGUUCUGCCACUUACCCUUUCCCUUGUCCUAGCCAUUCUAUUUCCUUUUACCCAUACUGCAUUAUCCGGUUGAUUGAACAGUUGACUCUAUUGCUCGAUGCUAGUCUUCUGGUACCAGAUAGCAUGAGCUCUUUCCAGCAUUUCAUGGUAUGAGGUGAAACGAUGGGACAUAAGUAUCAUGCUUAUGUCUGAGUUCAACCCUAGUUCAAACCUCCUGACUUUCUUGUCCUCCGUAUCCUCCAGAUGUGGAGCAUACCUUGAAAGUAGGUCAAACUUCCAUUCAUACUCAGUCAGGGACAUAGUCCUUUGCUUGAGUUGGAGAAAUUCACUUUCUUUGUGAUCCCUCAAAUAUUGUGGGAAAUACUUGUCCAUUACUUCCUCUUUAAAUCGCUCCCAAGUCAAUUCCGCUUGUUACUCUGGGGUCCUCGUCCUUGACAUCGAGUCCUAGCAGUGGCUUGCAUCAUCGAAAAACAUAAACUCAGGACACUGGACCUUCUGGGCAUCCGUGCACCCUAUUAAUCGAAAUAUUCUCUUCAAGUUGCGAAGCCACUCUUAGGCUACAAGUGGAUCAGCUCCUCCAUUGAAGGUAGGGGGCUUGUGUCUUCUAAAUUGCUCGACCACUGAAGCAUGGGUUGGAGGAACAUUAGGAGCUAGUGGUAGGGGUUGCACCUGGUUCGGGUUUUGCCUACCAAGGUCUUGGACCGCUUGGAGGAGAUCUCUUAUCAAGUUGGUUUGGUUUGCGUGGGCCAUUUUCCUUUAGAUAAAACGUGUGGUUCUUAUUAGUUUCAUACUUUAAGUUCUAACAAAGAAGAUAAAGUUUUAUUUCUUGACAUAAAGGAAGUUGUUACAAGGAUCUAAAUCUAAUCCCUAUAAGUUCUACGGAUCUUCUUUGGUGGAGCGUCAUCUCCAGAGGAGUCUUCCGCCUCAGGUCCGGAUUCUAUGUCCAUCUCAACCUGUGGCUCGGGCUCAGGAUCAUUCCCUUCUUCAGGCUCUUCUUCUUCAUCAAGUUCAAUUACUAUCUCCGGUUGAGGUUCUCAGUUUUCCCUCCAUAGGUCUAGGAGUGAUUGGCAAUACACUUCAAACUCAAAUAUAUUUAGGUGUUCCUUUAGCAUUACAUCCCUAACUGUGACUCCCAUAUCUCCCCAUUGAGGUGGAAGGGAGUGCAUGAGGUUAUUUAUAGCCUCAAUAUGCGUUAUCUCCACUCCAGCAUUCACCGUUAUUAUGCAUCUCUCAUAGACAUCAUGUAUAUGUUCGUCAAGUGGAUGGAGCAGAUCAGUCACGUAAUUCUCAUAGGACUGAAUGGCGAUUCUAUGGUUCAAUGCUCCUCUAUAUGCUCUAGCCAUUCUACGAGCCAUAUCUGUUGCAUUUUCACAUAUCAUACACUUUUUUUUUUUACUCUUGGAAAAAUGGCUACUGUUACAUAACAUUCUACCUAUAAAUUCUAGCCCAAUGCGUAUCUUUUGAAAAAAAAACACAUCUUUCAAAUCAUUUUUAAUUGGCAUAGUAUAUCUUUGAAAAUAAGCAUAAGUUGUACCACAGCAUCGCAAAGCAUCAUAACAUAGUCUUUUCAUGAAAACAUUAACUUUGAACAUACCUGGGCCGUAGGAUGAGACUGAUGGAUGGAUGCAAGAUGCCAUGGAGUAUCUUAGACUUUUUCUUCUUUUUUUUUUUAAAAAAAAACAUACUUGGUCUACAGAACCGAAUAAACCGUUUUUUUUUUAAAAAACAUACUUGGUCUACAGAACCAGCUAAACCCUUUUUUUUUUUUAAAAAAAUACUUGGUCUACAGAACCGGCUAAACCGUGCUCUGAUACCACUCUAUAAUGCCCCGACCCCUUGUGGACCGAAACGCUAUUUACUUUUCUUAACUAACCGGUGGUUUAGUUAUAGAAGAAUAUGUUUUAGCGGAAGCUUAAUUUUUACAAUGAUAAUUUUAACAACAAUCUUUCGAAUACUUUAAAUAAAACACUGAAUAAAAAAAUAACAGAAUGUAAUUUAUUUGAAAAAAACACAACUUGUUCUCGCGUUCAGCGUGAUUCAAAUACAUUAAAGAAAUAAUAGUGAAAACGUUCACAAAAAUAAAUCUAAAUAAUUUGUUCACCAGGUUUUCCAUGGGCUCGUUGCACCACUCUCCAUCUUUUCCAUCAUCCAGGCCCAAGGAAGAAUCAUAUCAAUCUGUAGAGAAGCGGUUAAACCCGUGAGUUAAAAAAACUCAAUAGAUAUCAUUGGUGCAUUCGUGAUCAAGUUAUAUAUUUCAAAGCUGUAACUUUAGAAACUUUUUCAUAGUAGGAUUUUCGGUAGAAUCCCAAACAUGUAGAUUCAUGACUUAACACGACGCCUCGACCGGAAGUACAUGCCGUAUCCGGAGGUACCAUUAGACAUGGAGGUGUAUGCCGUACCAGAGGUAUCAUUAGACAUACAAAUAUUAACAUAAAUCUUCAUUUGCUAGAAACUUAUAACUUAACACGAAUUAACACUUUGCGCCUCUACCUACCUUGAUUGAUGCUUUGAACCUUGUUGAAAAAUGCACUCCUUUGAUGUUUCAAAAAAAACACUCCGUUGAGAAUUAAUCCUUGGAAAACACCUCUUGAUAGCACCAAAACUUCUAGGAAAAACUAAUUUUCCUCCCUCUCAUUUCUCUUUUUUCUAGACUUGAAAACUCUCUUUUAUGCUUAGAAGCUUUUGUCUUGGUGUGAAAAAUGUGUAUGCAUUGGGGCCUAUUUAUAGGUGAAAAUCUCACAACUUAAGGGCAAGUGAAGGGCCUAAUACUCAUUAAUAUGGGUGUCAUUUAUGUGGGAGUUAUAGGUUUAAGAAGGUGCUAGAAAAUCAUGUGGAAAUUUGACUUUUCAUAUUCCGCGUACUUUGGUUGAUACUGUACGACCUUUAGUAUUUCUAUCAUAACUUCUUCUCCCGAUAUCCGAUUGAGGUAAUUCAAAGUGCAUUAGAAAAUUAACUCAAAGAGCUACAACUUUAUUUUAGAUCUUAUUUUCCAAAUCGAAUGUUUUCUAUGUCGUAAAUGUGUCUCAAAUGAGACUAAAAAUCUGAAGUAUACUUAAGUCAUCCAAUAUUCACGUCUUAGUGCCACUAAGGUGUUUAAAAUUAUUUGGGGUUCUACAAAUACUCAAGAAUAGGCACAAAUUUAUGCAUCCCAGGCAGAAAUAGUAGUCUAUUUUGUUUUCCUCAAUAAUCCCAAAAAUUGAGUUUCUCAAUUAUAUCUUUACCAAAGGUACCUUAUUUUUUCAAAAUAUGCAAGCCUUUGUCAUUAAUAUGGCCUAAAAUUUUAUGCCAUAGUUGUGACUUAUCAUUGGAAGCAGAAAUUGCUGUUGAUGCGGAGUCAAAAAGGUUUUGAGUGUGUAAAAUGUAAAGCCCAUGUCUCUUGGGGGCUUCGGCAACAAGUUGAGAGCCCCUCAAGAUUUUAAUGUAUCCCUUGUUAAUCACAAUAUUAUAGUUUAGGUCAUCUAGGACACCUAAGGAUAUGAUAUUUCUUUGUAGGUCAGGAACAUACUUGGUUUUUUCUAAAGUCAAUUCAUUAUUAUCACCAAACCUUAAGGUGAUUGUUCCUAUUCCUUUCACCUGAAAUGACAUAUGAUUACCUAUUAACACUUGGCCUCCAUUUACAUUUUCAAACUCAGUAAACCACUUUCUUUUAGGACACAUAUGAAAGGUGUUACUUGAGUCAAGGAUCCACUCCUGACUAGGUGAACUAUAUGUAGCAACAUAAACUUUGUCUACAUUGUACUCAUUUUUAUAAGCCAAGGUAGCACCACCAUCAUUAUCAGACUUAUUUUUCAAGUCAUUAAGUCUCUUAUGGAAAUCUUUGAUAAAAUGACCUUCACCUAGAUAGUAAAAACAUUUUUUUACCUUUAGUCUUGUUCUUCAUUUUAUCUUUAAUGUUCACCUUCUUCUUGUGUCCAAGCUUCUUAUUAAAAUUGGCCAUCUUUGGAUUUGGAUUAAGUUUGGACAACCAUCAAAUUUUCACCACUAACAGAUUCUCUCUUUUCAGAAUUUAACUCUAACUCUUUGUUUCUCAAUGCAUUUAUUAUCACGUUAGUAGGUAGAAUCUCCCUUCCAUAUUCAAUAACAUUUUUAACAUCUCUAUAUUUAUCACUUAUUGAAUAUAACAAAACCACAGCCAACUGAUCUUUUGAGAGUUUCUCAUCAGAGUCAGCUAGGUCACGAGAUAAUCUAUUAAAUCUAUCAAUUUUUACCUCAAGAUCAAGAGAUAGGUCCAAUUUGAAACCAAAAAAUUGUUUUAGAAGAUACACUUUAUUAGGCAUAGUUUUAUUCAAAUAAGUAUCUUCCACUUUUUUCCACAACUCAGCAGCAGUUUUUGUCUUACCAAUCUCUCUUAACAAUUGUCAAACAAAUGCAAGAAUAUAAAAAUCCAUGCAAUUUCAUCAAGUUCAGUUAUCUUAGUUUCUUCCAUAUCAUCAGGACAUGACUCAUCAAUGGCUUUUGCACAUUUUUGUUGAAGUAAAAGGGCUUGCAUUUUCUGGCGCCAGAGACUAAAGUCUCCUUUACCAUUAAAGAUUUCCAGUUCAACUUUAGUUGACAUAAUCAAAACACAAUUUGAUUUUUAAUAGUGCAAACAUAUCACAUAAGUUUUGAAUAGUAUCCACAACAUGCAAAAUCUCAUAUGUCAUACACAGUAGUCAAUGCAAAGUGUACAACCAGGAAGUUGUAUAUUACAAAUUAUUUAGCAGAAACACUCAUCAGUUCAUUCAAUUACAAAAUAAGCAGUUUACUCAAAAAAAGCAACAUAUCAAGUCGCAGUAACAUUAUCACAGCUUGCCUUAUACAUUCUAUACAAGAUACUGACAAGAAUCAUAAAAUGAAUUUUAAACCAUCACCUUUUAUUCGAGAUAGCCAUUAGAUUUCAGACAACUCUUGGUUUCUGGACAAAGGAACUAUCAAGAAGUCUUCGAUUUAUAAAUUUUACCACAGUUGCAAGGGUCACACGAUAUAGACAAGUAAUGUAUACUGUAACUCAAAAUAAAUGGAACAAACUCACAAAAAAUCCCUUAUUAGGGUUUCAAGAAACAAGCUAAAUCUAUUGAACGAGUCCAAGAUUUUUUUAGAUCUACCAACACUGACGCUAAGAACCACCGUAUACAAGCUCUAAUACAACUGUAACGAGCAGUUCACAAAUUAUUAGCCAAUUCAAUCAACAAAACCAGAAUCAAUAACGUACAAAAAUAAAUUGAAAGUAAUGUAAAGAACAUGAUAUUUUCGCUCUAAGGCAAGAUGUUCAUAACCGGAGUUCCUAAUCCCCUUUGGUGCUUCCACCAUCAAAAGAAUUCAUUGCAUUAACUAGAAUCAUAAACCGUCCAGCAGUUGCAGAUCCGAGUCCCAAGCCAAGAAUCACCCAAGAUUGCCGAUAACCCUCACAAUAUUGCCUCAACAGUUCACUCAUGAACAGUAGUGUGAAAUCGGUCUAUAUACAAAUCACCUGAGACAAGUAUUACACAAUUUCACAAAAUAGAAUCAACAACUAAAUGAUUUCUACAAAGAUUUGUGAAGGAAAAAUAUGGCACUCAGAAAAUGUGAAGAUUAUUCUUUAGCCACUUUGAGAGAGAGAAACCAAGAGAUGAAGAGAAAAUGAAAAAUCCGCUAAUUAACCCUAGACUCAAGAGACCUGUAUGUAGGAAGUCUCUAGAAUGUCUCUAUCGAAUGGCCAUGAAGGUGACGCUUGUCAUCAUCAAAUUUGUCCAGCCCAUUAGUAAAAACGUAUUGCUGGAAAAACACGUUUUUAAUUCAAAACCAUCAGUUUCUGUUUCAGCCUACACGAUUCACUUUCAUUUAGUAGAGAAGCUAGUCAAAGUCUAUAAGAAGCUGGUCCAGUCAGUAGGUCAAGAUAGCCACAUCAUUGUGCCACAUUUCCUUACACUACGAAUUUGAAUUUUUUUUUUCUCUCUCCAUUAACUGUUGAAUUUGUUCAAUAUAAUUUUUUUUAUCUCGAAUAUCAAUUAACUUUGUUUGAUUUGAGGAUUGCAUUGUUAAUAAUCACUCUCUUUCUAGUUGGUGAUGUUGGAUGGAGGAAUAACUUUACAAAGAGGGAGCAUGCACAAUCAAGAAAAGAAAUGGUUUUUUGGAUUAUACUUUUACUUUUUAGCUCUUACAUCCAAAACUUUUAAAAUUCCCAAUAUACGUUGAAAUUGCCGAUAAAUUUACUUAUAUUACUGAUAUAUCUGUACAUAUAUAUUUAUAUAUAAUUAAACUUUGUAUAUUUUAUAUCUGUUUAAUGGAACCUGCCCUACUCUAUUUAUGUCUUAAUCUUAGCGCCCAUUUGGCCACAAUUAUUCCACGUUAUAAUGAGAAGAAUAAUAAUUUUUGGAGAAUGUGUGAUUAAAAUAAAAUGAAAUUUUUUUUAGCUUACGUGUAAUAUUAUUUUAUUAAAAAUUGUGUGAUUGAUAAGAAGAAACAAAAAAUGAAUAAUAAUUUAAUGGAGGAAUAAUGGGGGCAAAAUAGCCCAUUAUAAUUUAAUUAAAUAUUAAUAAAUAAUCUCCCUAUUGCGAUCAUUACAGUCAACGGUCAAUGACAACCCUUACUCAACAACAUUCGCGAAUUAGCCACUGUAUAUGAUACAAUAAAUUAAAUAAAAUUUCACAUGAUAAGUGUCAAAUAUUGUUUAUUUUACUUUUCUUCAGUCUUGCUUAAUAUUGUUACAUGUUGGUUCAUCGGUUAUAUAGAACUAUCACAAGACAAGGCAACUUACAUAUUUUGUACGUCAUUCUCUUUAAUUAUGUAUAAUUUAUUCACUCAAUAUAUCAAAGUUUACACUUUAUUUUUGUAGUAAUGAUAUUUAGAAUCAACGACUGCAAUGAUCACAUGUAAGGCAUCUUGUCACUUAAUAGUUUAUUGUAACUGUGUUGUCGCAAACAACAAAUUAAUGUCUCAAAUAACAUGUUGUCAUAUAAGAUGACUACUACUAUAAACAAGGGUGGAUCUAGGCUCGGGUUGGACGGGUUGGGGCUACAGCCCCCAGCCCGACCUCGCCCAAGCCUAGAUCCGUUAGUCCACCAUUUCCUUUUUUUUUUCUUUUUUUCUUUUUUCGUUUUUUAGUUGAGGCUAUUUAAAACUAAUUGAGCAGCUCGUGUCAAACCAAAAAAGAAAAUUAAAUAAGCCUAAUUCCAACAAAAUGUGUUUGUAAAUGGACCAACUCUAAUCUUUUGGCCCAAUUUAUUACCCAUUUAAACCCAAAUCCAAACCUAAUUUUAAUCCAAUUUUCUUCCUUUUGACAUACCUGAGACCACAGCAAAUAGAAGACUGUGAUUCCUCUUCAUUAUCCAACCCGUUACUCAGCAACCAAAGUCUUCAAACUUCCAAAUUUUCAAUCCUCCCAUAAAAUUUCUACAAAAUUAAGGAACCCAUUUCUCAAAUCAAAUAUUUCAUCUCUUGAAAGUUCUUUUACUCCACAGCGGCUUUUGAACUGGACAACUGGUAAGUAUUUUAGAUUUCAAAAUUCAAAGUUUAGUAACUUUAGUUUCUUAGAUUUUAUUACUUGGACCGUCUUUUAUAUAUAUUUUUCAUUAAUAAUUUAAUAUUGAUUAUUGAGAGUGAGUUUUUGAAAAAUCCAAGUUUUUUUGUUUUUGUUUGCAAAUUGUUGAGAUGGCCAGAUGAUUUUUUAUUUUUUUAGUACUUGAGCAUUUUUAAAAUUUUUAGAUUUGAGAAUUGAAUUGAUAUUAAUUUUGACAAUAGCUUUUCGCCUUAAUUAGAUUGUGGAGUAAAAGUUCAUUCUAAAUUGUAAUGUAGAAUUCCUCUUCAUCAACAGGCUUAAUUGAAAUAUUUUUGAAUUUCAAAAUGCAGUAAAUUUUUCACAGCACGAAUGCAGACCCGCAUAAAUGUAGGAAAGGAAAAUUGCAAAAGCUUAAAUAUACUCCCUAGUAAGUAAAUACCGUCAGCUCCCUACUUGUCGCCUUGUCUGCAAAAUAUUGAAAUUGUUGCCUACUUGUCUUGUUGGUCAAUUAGUUAAUUAUUUAUUGUUGAAAUGUUGCAUUGUCAACUUAGUAACUUUUCUUGACAUAUUGUCUUGUCAGCUUAAUGAUUUGUGUCUUUGCCUUUUCGGGCAAUCGCUUAAUGAAUUAUUUUCAUUGCCUUUUCGGCUUAAUGAAUUAUGUUUACUUUUAAAUUUUAACCCGUACGCCAAAAAUUCCUAGAUUCGUCCCCGAUUAUAAAUAACAUUACUCUUAUUUUUCACAUGUUUUAUUCGUGUCACCCAACCUUCAAACAGGAUAGAAAAAAUGAUCGGUGAGGAGUGGAAUUUAGGUCCACACAACUCAUAUGGAAAUUGAGUUUUCGAGUGAGGCCCACAGCGAACUCAACGUUGGAAAAAAAGUUGUGGAGGUAUUUCAAGAAAAAUAAUGUCAUUUUCUUGAUUUCAAAACAAAUAACCCAGAGGCAUAUCGCCGCCCAUUAAUGUAGGGCAGGUGUAUACGCAUAGUUGAAGACAAAUAGACAUUGACC
rnacentral:lncRNA from 1 species